rnacentral:misc_RNA from 1 species
GUAAGAAAUCAUCCUGCAGCACAAUGGAGUUAAUCACAUCUGCGUACUUAACCGCCAAGUUAAGUGACACACAUCGAGCUGGAGCCACAGCAUAACACCUGAUUUUGUUCCUGGGAAUUCCUCCUAAUUGAUCUCGAUGAUUAACAGCAAUAAUCGUCAACAAGGCAGCCACUCCUGACCCCAAAGAAUGUCCUGCAAACACCAUAGUGCAUUCCUUCCCAUUUUUCUGCCAGAUAUCCUUCAAUGUCUCUCUCUCUUCAUUCAACAACCAUAAUGCAGACUUCAACAACCCAUGAUGCACAUAACCCCCAUCAAACAUUUGCAUCCCCAGUCGAUUGUCCAAUAGCAAUUUGUAGUCGCUUUCCUUGAUCAAAUUUAACCCACGAAUUGCAAGCACGAUUUCUUUGUGUUCAUGAUCGAGGUAGAUGAUAUAAGGAGGAGCACGGCCGUGGGUCUGCUCGUAGGUGACUCUCUUGAUUAGACACUUGGCGUCGAGCGGCGAUGAGAACUGGGGAUGUUCGGUGUCGGUCUCGUAGACAGAGAGGAUUAGGCUGCAGAUGCGAGGAACUGGUUCGAAUUCGUCCUUAGUGGCCAAAGUCCAGGAAGCACUAUCGUCGGAACCCACAUAGGUGCAGCGCUUCCAGGCCCAUCGCAUGCAGCCUAAAACGACAACGCAUUCUACUCCACAGGUAACUGACAUUUGGACUGAAAACAGAAAGGAGUGGUUUGGGAUCUUGAAGUGUUAAAGGAAGCUGGAGGGUGCUAUUCUUGAAAUUCAGAGUAACAAAAAGGUGGGUUCUUGUCCACUGUAAGUAAGGUAAUUGAAUGACGGAAGAAGCUUGAUACCAAAGGAUAAUGGAAUAAGCUUUAAUGGCAGUUCACAUGUAAGGUGAGCUGGUCCAGGUUGGGAAGAGAGAGAAAAUGAAGGUUGAUGAAUAAUGAGAGGAAUUGUAAAUUUUUUAUACAAUCUGGAGAUUCUGGAUGCUUGUCUUCAGCCUUUGGACAUAACACAGAUGUCGUAAUUUAGUCAUGGAUUGUUGCACAAUCGUAGAAUAAGA